UGCUCGACCAGGGCGCGGCGGCCGGCCUCCUGCGGGGAGACCGAGGGGGCCGGUUCCGGGGCGGGGCGAGGUUCGGGCUCCUCGUCCGGCUC
rnacentral:tRNA from 1 species